rnacentral:rRNA from 1 species
UGGGGGAAUAUUGGGCAAUGGGCGCAAGCCUGACCCAGCAACGCCGCGUGAAGGAAGAAGGCUUUCGGGUUGUAAACUUCUUUUGUCAGGGACGAGGAGAAGACGGUACCUGGCGAAUAAGCCACGGCUAACUACGUGCCAGCAGCCGCGGUAAUACGUAGGUGGCAAGCGUUGUCCGGAUUUACUGGGUGUAAAGGGCGCGCAGGCGGGGGAGCAAGUCAGCUGUGAAAUCUAUGGGCUUAACCCAUAAACUGCAGUUGAAACUGUUCUUCUUGAGUGAAGUAGAGGUUGGCGGAAUUCCGAGUGUAGCGGUGAAAUGCGUAGAUAUUCGGAGGAACACCGGUGGCGAAGGCGGCCAACUGGGCUUUUACUGACGCUGAGGCUCGAAAGUGUGGGGAGCAAACAGGAUUAGAUACCCUGGUAGU